CUUUGUCUAUGAAGUAAUAGAGGCUCAGCAAGGGUAAGAAUGACCAGCCUUUUGUACUCCUCAGUAACCACAAAAUUAAGACCAUAGUUAUGGAUCCAGAGAAGCUGGGAUAACCCAGAGCCUUGAAGACAGCUUCAGAAAACCUGGCAUGUUUCAUAAUUAAAAGAAGAAACCUGGAGAUCCCUCCCCCAUGCCUUUACAGACAAACCCAGGAUUCCAUUUAUAAUGACUUAACAAUUAAUCAUUCUCAAAAAAGAAGAAAAAGUAGAAAAUUUCUUUUCCUUUCUUUCCCUCAUUUGACAAGAGACUUACUGAAACAGCUUGACAAGGAUUAAGAUAUUCGAGAAACAAGGAACAUAUGAAAGGAAGUAACGAAUCUUCUUCAGAAUCCUGCCAUACCUUUCAGAUCAGCAGGCUUUCUGCAACCUUUUGAAGUUAUAAUCUUGAAACACUAGAUCCACGGUUCACGUGGACACUUGGGAAAUUCAGUCUGAGGAAAAACUAUACACAUGCUUGUGCACACAUAUACCCCCACUACUAUUGACAAAUAAAUUACGAUGGUUCUUUGUCAAACAUU